rnacentral:rRNA from 1 species
AUGCAAGUCGAACGGCAGCGCGAGAGAGCUUGCUCUCUUGGCGGCGAGUGGCGGACGGGUGAGUAAUAUAUCGGAACGUGCCCAGUAGCGGGGGAUAACUACUCGAAAGAGUGGCUAAUACCGCAUACGCCCUACGGGGGAAAGGGGGGGAUCGCAAGACCUCUCACUAUUGGAGCGGCCGAUAUCGGAUUAGCUAGUUGGUGGGGUAAAGGCUCACCAAGGCAACGAUCCGUAGCUGGUUUGAGAGGACGACCAGCCACACUGGGACUGAGACACGGCCCAGACUCCUACGGGAGGCAGCAGUGGGGAAUUUUGGACAAUGGGGGAAACCCUGAUCCAGCCAUCCCGCGUGUAUGAUGAAGGCCUUCGGGUUGUAAAGUACUUUUGGCAGAGAAGAAAAGGUAUCCCCUAAUACGGGAUACUGCUGACGGUAUCUGCAGAAUAAGCACCGGCUAACUACGUGCCAGCAGCCGCGGUAAUACGUAGGGUGCAAGCGUUAAUCGGAAUUACUGGGCGUAAAGCGUGUGUAGGCGGUUCGGAAAGAAAGAUGUGAAAUCCCAGGGCUCAACCUUGGAACUGCAUUUUUAACUGCCGAGCUAGAGUAUGUCAGAGGGGGGUAGAAUUCCACGUGUAGCAGUGAAAUGCGUAAAUAUGAGGAGGAAUACCGAUGGCGAAUGCAGUCCCCUGGCAUAAUACUGACGCUCAAACACGAAAGCGUUGGGAGCGGGCGGGAUUAGAUACCCUGGUAGUCCCCGCCCUAUACGACGUCUACUAGCGGGUGGGGCCGUUAGGCCUUAGUAGCGCAGCUAACGCGUG